GAUCUUGGUUCAGAACGAACGCUGGUGGCGUGUCUUAUACAUGCAAGUCGAGCGAGGCAGCAAUGCCGAGCGGCGAACGGGUGAGUAACGCGUAAGCAAUCUGCCCCAUAUCAGGAAAUACCCGUGCCAACGCGCGGUUAAUGUCCAGGAGAGUGGCUCCUUGCAUGAGGAGUUGACUAGAGAUUUAUCGGUAUGGGAUGAGCUUGCGUCCGAUUAGCUAGUUGGCGGGCAACGGCCCACCAAGGCGACGAUCGGUAGCCGGCCUGAGAGGGUGAUCGGCCACAUUGGGACUGAGAUACGGCCCAGACUCCUACGGGAGGCAGCAGUAGGGAAUAUUGCACAAUGGGGGAAACCCUGAUGCAGCAACGCCAACCGUGUGGGAAGAAGCAUUUCGGUGUGUAAACCACUGUCAUGAGGGAAUAAGGCCCGCCUUCGGACGGGGUUGAAUGUACCUUGAGAGGAAGCACCGGCAAACUUCGUGCCAGCAGCCGC
rnacentral:rRNA from 1 species